rnacentral:rRNA from 1 species
AACAGGCUUAUCUCCCCCAAGAGUCCACAUCGACGGGGAGGUUUGGCACCUCGAUGUCGGCUCAUCACAUCCUGGGGCUGUAGUAGGUCCCAAGGGUUGGGCUGUUCGCCCAUUAAAGUGGUACGCGAGCUGGGUUCAGAACGUCGUGAGACAGUUCGGUCCCUAUCCGUCGCAGGCGUAGGAAAUUUGAGAAGACCUGUCCUUAGUACGAGAGGACCGGGAUGGACGUACCUCUGGUGUACCAGUUGUUCUGCCAAGGGCAUGGCUGGGUAGCUAUGUACGGAAUGGAUAAGCGCUGAAAGCAUCUAAGCGCGAAGCCAACUUCAAGAUAAGAUUUCCCACCGCAAGGGUAAGACCCCAGAAAGACUAUCUGGUUGAUAGGUCGAAAGUGUAAGUGCAGCAAUGUAUUUAGCUUAUCGAUACUAAUAGGUCGAGGACUUGACCAAU